CACAAACUACAGCUGAAAUUAAUACAGAAUGGUAAGAAAGGUAAAACUUUUAUUGUAGUUUAACAGUAUAUUACAAAAAUGUUCAGUGAAUCCUGAUUCUGAAGUAGUGUAGGAGGAAGUGAGUUAAUAUGUUAGUAAGAAACAGACUUGUGCAUUAUACUAUAGAAUAACGUGGUAAAACAGGUUUUCUUUUAGACAGGCACUUUCCUACAAAAUGACUAGCAGUUUCUCAGAUGAAUGCAGCAGGUAAAAGCUCCAAAAUCCACUAGUUCUUCAUCUGCAAUACUGUAGAGGUUUGUUGACUGUUGUAUGGGAAGUCUUAUCUUACUAGGAAUUGUCAAAACUUUUUGCAGUAGCUUGAAAAGGUCCUGUCCUUGGCAGUGUAUUUUCUUUACCCUCAGUUCUUUGUAGAAACGUCUCUCUGUGAUGUCCAGGCCAAGAGUCAACCAAAACCAGCCUGACAAUACACUUCGUUGUGUGUUUAACAGAACAGUUUCAGGCAAAAAAAAAAAAACAACAAACCACCCUAAUCCAUUUAGUGUGAUGAGAUUUGGAGAGCUCCUGCAGUAAAUGAUGAUUCUGAGUGGUGGCCAUGUGCUGUUACUGUUUUUUUCAUUUUUGUUCUGCAGCUGUUUCUGGACUCAUGCUACGACAGAACUAGAAAGUGACAGUGGUUCCAAGACUUGGCCCUUAGCCAGGGUUUACCUGUUGCCCUGAUGUUGUUCUACAAAGCAAAAAAAUUCUCCUUCCUGGUGGUGUUGAACUGAAGUUCAUUCAUCUUCCUGCUCUAUAUAGCUGCUGAAAUAAUUGCUGUACAAAUACUGCUCCUUGCAGUCUGACUUUUUUUGCUCUAAGCACGAGGUGUCUGCCUUUGCAUAAAGUGACAUAGGAGUAUCAUCGGUCAAGGCAAUGGCUUUCAGUGUUUCUGCUUUGAAAGAAAAUGAUGGAAGUGGCAGCUGGAUCUACAGAUCGUCACUCUCUACCAAGCCAGAUUGCAUUGUCAGGUGGACUGGGUUUGCUUCAGGCUGGAAAGCUGCUUUGAUGUCUAGUCCUUGGUCACAAAGUGCAGCAUAUCGGCUGGCUGAGGGCCGCACCUUCUUUGGCUUGGUUGUCUGAGUUGGUUGUUGCCACUGAGCUAUAGAUUCAAAAGGAAAGGAAAAACAUUAGCCAUCCUGAGCUGUGCAACAGUGUGCCAGAUACAAAGUCAGCACUUUGUUAAGGAGAUACUGAUUUUUGAGCAGAGGAAACCAUUCUAUUAUUAAAGAUUAAGACAUCUGGAAAUCUGGUUUAAGUAGAAAGGAUGCGAGAACUUACCCAGACUUUCUGGGGAAUGGAUAAAAAACUGGAAGAACAAGGACAAAUGUUCUUUUACAUGAUACACGGGGAGAUUAUUCUAAGUCAGUCUAACCUCACUCGGUCAGUGUUGUACAUACUCCUUUCUAGAUUAACUUAUUGUGGAAAACUUGCAGACAAACAGUCAGGUCUCCAGGAGCCUGCAGAAAAUGAGGCCGGAAGAAUCGUUCCUGAAUUGGUUCAUUUUCAUCACCACUGUCCCUUGACCGAGAUCGUGGUCUUAAAAUAACAUGAAAUAAAGGUCUCAAGUGCCUUACUGACUGGAUGCCAAAAGGACACAGCUUUUUUUUGGCUGUUCUCACACUGCAGGGAUAACAGGGUAUUCCGCUCCAUAAGCAGCCUGAGCUUUGGGCUUAACAGGCCUAAAUGUGCGGUGUUGGAGGCGGAGCUGGUAGGACACCUCAGCAAGAGAGAGACCUUGGGAAAUGCUUUCAGGACUGUGGGAAGCCCAGUUUGUUCCAUCCAGGAAUAAGACUACUAAAUUCUUUUCAACCAACAACCUCACUUCCUAAUACUUUCUAGUUACCAGAUGGGAGGAAGAGAGCCUGCUUCACAUGCAGCUGUUAUACAAAUACAGGUUGUUGACCACAAGCACUAGGGCAAGGUGUUUGGAAUGGGACUGUGUGCAGCCAGAACUGCUGGCCCCCAGGGCUCUACAGAAUUCACCAUGUAAGAGGCACCACUGCAUAUUAAUCUUCUUCUGGCAGGUGAUGAAUUCACACAUUUUGGGAUAAUUUCUGUGUGUCCCAAUACGUGAAGGCAUCACAAAUGGAAACACAAAGGAAAGUAAGGAAAUUGGACAAGGAAGAACAAGCAGCAAGCCAAAAGUUGAAAAAGUCAUGGGAUGAACAAGGAGAAAGCAAUGAGCUGGAACUAAUUAAUGAGAAGAUGGCCUAGAAAAUAAGGGAAGUCCAGACUGAGGACUGUGAGUGCAUACUGUGAAGAAGUGGAGAGAACGGGGUAAAAGAAGGUGAAAAUCAGGACUCAAGUCAAGCCCACACAGCUCACAGAAAGGGGGGGAUGUAACCUAUAAAUAAAGGCCUAACGCAGGCAAGGUUUUGUGUUUGUCUAGGCCCAGGGUCAGUUUGCUCUGGAUUAAGUUAAAUGGCAAAUCCCACUGCAACCCCCAGAGGUUUGUCAGAACCUUAAUCCAGAUCACAGCACUUUACAUCACAGGCGAUGGCGCCUGCUGCAUUAACUACCACGGACCGUUUCCAAGGUGUGUCAACAAUUCAUGUUACAUACAUAAAUCCUGUAGUAUUAGUCCAGAUUGUGAGAUGGCAUAAACUGGCAGAGCUUUAAUGAACUUAAUCCUUUGCUUUAAUAAAAUCAAUAUCUAUCA